rnacentral:misc_RNA from 1 species
GAUGAAGAACGUAGCGAAAUGCGAUACGUAUUGUGAAUUGCAGAAUUCAGUGAAUCAUCGAAUCUUUGAACGCAUAUUGCGCUCUCUGGUAUUCCGGAGAGCAUGCUUGUUUGAGUAUCAGUAAACACCUCAACUUCCAUAUCUUUUUUGAAAUGGGAGUUGGACUUGAGUGAUCCCAACGCUUUUCCUCACCGAAAAGUGGCGGGUUACUUGAAAUGCAGGUGCAGCUGGACUUUUCUCUGAGCUAUAAGCAUAUCUAUUUAGUCUGCCUAAAAAACAGAUUAUUACCUUUGCUGCAGCUAACAUAAAGGAGAUUAGUUCUUGUGCUGACUGAUGCAGGAUUCACAAAGACAGGCUUCGGCCGACUUUGUAAACUCGAUCUCAAAUCAAGUAAGACUACCCGCUGAACUUAAGCAUAUCAAUAAGCGGAGGA